UUACAUUGCAGGUGCUAAGCGCGAAAAGAUUCCAGAGGAAGUCUCAGAAAGAGAGUUAAAAAGGCGGGAACACACACACACACACACAGAGAGAAGUAUGUACGGCGGGAACAGCCAAUUCGACGGUAACGCGGCGUUUGCCGGCGGCGGUUUCAUGCCAUCGCAGGCCACACAAACCGCCGGCGAUCAUUCCUUCUCUCCAGCCAAGAAUCGUGAUUCACAGUCUUUGCUUCCACUAAGUGUCAAGCAAAUUAGUGAAGCCUUUCAAUCAAGUGAUGAUAAGACAAACUUUCUCAUUGAUGGGGUUGACGUGAAUAAUGUGAAAGUGGUGGGUAUUUUAUUCAACAAAUCGGAAAGGGUUACAGAAGUUUCAUUUGUAGUGGAUGAUGGAACAGGGCGCAUUGACUGUUCUCGAUGGUAAUUGUCAAUGACCCCCUUCUCCUGUUCCCUCUGUAUCUUCUUUGACGAGUUGGUGGUAAAGAUCCUAAGUUCUUAUCUUUGUGGUUUUAGGCCUGUGGAUGACUACAAUGAGAUUGCAAGCCACUUUGCAGAGGUCAUUUAUGUUCAUAGCUACAACAGUAAGCUACGGAGGCAACAGGAUAGUUCGUCUAUGUCAGCUCAAGUGCCUAGCUCAGCGGCCAACACUCCUUUAAAGGGAUAUCAAGCUUCACUGUCGACUCAAUUUCCUGGAUACAACAUGGACGGGAUCAGGGGUGUAGAUAAAAUGGUAUUGGACUACUUGCAACAACCGUCAUGCCUUGCACGUGAAAAAGGUGUUCAUCGCAAUGAGCUUGCUCAACAGCUAAAAGUUCCUUCGGAGAAGAUCUUAGAAGCUAUUGAAUCUCUCGAGUCUGAAGGUCUAGUUUACUCCACAAUAGACGAGUAUCACUACAAGUCUACUGCAAAUGGUUGAUGUUUGAUGUGGGAGACGAAACGAUAAGCAAUUUAGUAACAUGUGUCCUUUUUCACGUAUAUAUAGAUAGAGCAAGAAUGAAAAUGGAGACACCUUUUCCAUUUUUGAAGGAUAUAUUGCUGUUUCUUCCCUCAAAGAGAGUUUUGUGCACUAUGUUUGGUAGCUUUUCGAGAGUAGUAUGUUUUUAUCUCGUUGAAGCAACCUCCUUUUUUCCCCCUUGACUAGUUGACUUGAAGGGUUAAUUAGAAACUUAGCAUGCGGAGUAUGAUUUCCUAGUUAUUAGGCCAAACUCGA